AUUGAACGCUGGCGGCAGGCCUAACACAUGCAAGUCGAGCGGGUUUUCGGACCUAGCGGCGGACGGGUGAGUAAUGCGUAGGAAGCUGCCCGAUAGAGGGGGAUACCAGUUGGAAACGACUGUUAAUACCGCAUAAUGUCUACGGACCAAAGUGUGGGACCUUCGGGCCACAUGCUAUCGGAUGCGCCUACGUGGGAUUAGUUAGUUGGUGAGGUAAUGGCUCACCAAGGCGACGAUCUCUAGCUGGUUUGAGAGGAUGAUCAGCCACACUGGAACGGAGACACGGUCCAGACUCCUACGGGAGGCAGCAGUGGGGAAUAUUGGACAAUGGGCGCAAGCCUGAUCCAGCCAUGCCGCGUGUGUGAAGAAGGCCUUCGGGUUGUAAAGCACUUUCAGCGAGGAGGAAGGGGUGUGUGUUAAUAGUACACACCUUUGACGUUACUCGCAGAAGAAGCACCGGCUAACUCUGUGCCAGCCGCCGCGGUAAUAC
rnacentral:rRNA from 1 species